UACAGAGGGUGCUAGCGUUGUUCGGAAUCAUUGGGCGUAAAGGGUGCGUAGGUGGUCUAUUAAGUCAGUGCUGAAAUAUCCCGGCUUAACCGGGAGGGUGGCAUUGAUACUGAUGGACUUGAGUAAAGUUGAGGUGGGCGGAAUUGACGGUGUAGCGGUGAAAUGCUUAGAUAUCGUCAAGAACACCUAUUGCGAAGGCAGCUCACUAAGCUUUAACUGACACUGAGGCACGAAAGUGUGGGGAUCAAACAGG
rnacentral:rRNA from 1 species